CGGGGAUCCGGCGGACUCCCCGGCAGUUUCAAGACGUUCUCUUUGCGUCCAAGUUCCGC
rnacentral:ncRNA from 1 species